rnacentral:rRNA from 1 species
UACGAAGGGGGCUAGCGUUGCUCGGAAUCACUGGGCGUAAAGCGCACGUAGGCGGAUUGUUAAGUCAGGGGUGAAAUCCUGGAGCUCAACUCCAGAACUGCCUUUGAUACUGGCGAUCUCGAGUCCGGGAGAGGUGAGUGGAACUGCGAGUGUAGAGGUGAAAUUCGUAGAUAUUCGCAAGAACACCAGUGGCGAAGGCGGCUCACUGGCCCGGUACGUGACGCUGAGGUGCGAAAGCGUGGGGAGCAACAG